AUGGAGACUUGGGGCAGAUAUCGGCUUUUUGCCUACACACUGGACCUGAAUCUGUUUUUCAGAGACCUUCGGACUGACACAUUUCAGACAGUAUCUGUUGUUGAUAUUAAGAUUGCACUAUUUUCCCAGGAACUUGGAGACCCACUAGGUAAUCCUAUAAAAAAAAAAAAUAAAAAUUAGGCAAAUUCAACACCAUAGAAUGUAUUAGCAAUCUGUGUCAAAACCAAGAGCUUAUGUAUCACAUAUGCUAAUUAAUUCAGGAAGGGUCAAAUUCCAGUUAUGACAUUCAGGCAGUAGCCUCAUGGAAACUCAUUCAGCUAAAAUCUAAAUAAUUAAUUUUUUCCUUUUUUCACUUUUACUUUUGAUGGAUUUUAAGUUCACAGAAUGGAAUUAAUCCUAUUUACAUUCAUCCUUAUUUCAUGCAAGCCCAUAUCUGUCUCUAUUUAUCUAUCAUCUAUCUACUAAUUGUUUAUAGUUAAAAAAGUAACAUAUAUCUGAAUAUUAGAACAAUUACAAUAAAUUAGAACUUAACAACCUUUGUGUUCCUUCCCCAUGUCCUCCUCAUUCAUUUCUCUGACAUUGCUCUUUCUUUUCUAAAUCGUGUACCCCUUAUACUCUUGCUUUUAUUUUUAUAUGAUUUAAUAAUUUGUAUACUGUCUAUAGGUAUGAUGAAAGGACAUGAGAGAUAUUUCAAUCAUAACUGUGAGGAACCCCCUCCCCAAGGAACCAACUGUACUCUAAAGGUCAGAAAGAAAGGGAAUGAGCAAGCAAAUGGGUGUUAGCUUAGAAAUGCUACAUAAAUAUCUUUGUUCUGAUUUCAAGCUCACACCAUAAUCUAAUAAAUUCUUAGUAGGUUCCAAGUAAAUUGCCUAGAGAUAAAAAUGUUCUAAGAACUUCACAAAAUGUUUUGUCUAUGUUUGCAUUUUUCCU
rnacentral:lncRNA from 1 species